GGGGUUGUGGCUCAGUGGUAGAGCAAUUGCCUAGCACGCAUGAGGCACUGGGUUCGAUCCCCGGCACCA
rnacentral:tRNA from 1 species